UAUUGCCACUCCAUUUUUGCUUCUUGCAGAAACUAAUCCCCUAUAGUCAAAGCCUCAAAGGCUAAUCAAGUGCUUCACAUUCCCUGGAAACAUCAAAACAGAUCCCACAAUAGCAUGUCCCUGGCAAUAAGAAUAUACAAGCCAAGCUGAUGGGGAAAGCAAUCGAGUUCUGUGAGGAUCCAUGAUCAAAUUAUGUUCUCAAGUUACCUCUUUGACUACCAUUUAGGAAUUCAGAAUUUUGUCUAUGCCCAAAAGUGCUUCUUGGGACAUUGGAGCUGGGAAAACAAGUUUGGUAUUGAGAUUUGUCACAGGAAAAUUUUUGGAGUACCAUGUUACUUUUAACAUCAGACCAUCAGAGUCUUUGUUAUUGUAUAAUGUUUCAUUAUUCGUGCAUGUUCUUUCGCAUAAGCAUUAUAGUAUAAUUCAUUGCUUCUAACAUGUG